CUUUCCUACGGGAGGCAGCAGUAGGGAAUAUUGCUCAAUGGGGGAAACCCUGAAGCAGCAACGCCGCGUGGGUGAAGGAGCACCUCGGUGCGUAAAGCCCUAUCGGCAGGGAAGAAACAGACGGUACCUGACUAAGAAGCCCCGGCUAACUACGUGCCAGCAGCCGCGGUAAUACGUAGGGGGCAAGCGUUAUCCGGAUUCACUGGGUGUAAAGGGAGCGUAGACGGCGACGCAAGUCUGGAGUGAAAGCCCGGGGCCCAACCCCGGGACUGCUCUGGAAACUGCGUCGCUGGAG
rnacentral:rRNA from 1 species